CCCGGCGGCCCUGGUCCGCGCCCGCCGAAGACAGUCUAAAACUCUUUACUUAAACGGCCGUCUGAGCGUAUAAGCAAAAAUCAGUUAAAACUUUCAACAACGGAUCUCUUGGUUCCGGCAUCGAUGAAGAACGCAGCGAAAUGCGAUAAGUAAUGUGAAUUGCAGAAUUCCGUGAAUCAUCGAAUCUUUGAACG
rnacentral:rRNA from 1 species